rnacentral:rRNA from 1 species
GAGUUUGAUCAUGGCUCAGAUUGAACGCUGGCGGCAGGCCUAACACAUGCAAGUCGAGCGGAUGACGGGAGCUUGCUCCUUGAUUCAGCGGCGGACGGGUGAGUAAUGCCUAGGAAUCUGCCUGGUAGUGGGGGACAACGUUUCGAAAGGAACGCUAAUACCGCAUACGUCCUACGGGAGAAAGCAGGGGACCUUCGGGCCUUGCGCUAUCAGAUGAGCCUAGGUCGGAUUAGCUAGUUGGUGGGGUAAUGGCUCACCAAGGCGACGAUCCGUAACUGGUCUGAGAGGAUGAUCAGUCACACUGGAACUGAGACACGGUCCAGACUCCUACGGGAGGCAGCAGUGGGGAAUAUUGGACAAUGGGCGAAAGCCUGAUCCAGCCAUGCCGCGUGUGUGAAGAAGGUCUUCGGAUUGUAAAGCACUUUAAGUUGGGUAGGAAGGGCAGUAAGUUAAUACCUUGCUGUUUUGACGUUACCGACAGAAUAAGCACCGGCUAACUCUGUGCCAGUAGCCG